rnacentral:tRNA from 1 species
AUCAGUGUGGCAGACUAGUGCAAUGAACUUAAGAUUCAUAUAUAAAUUUAUUAUUUUGCUGAAA